rnacentral:rRNA from 1 species
AAAGACGGUCUUGCUGUCACUUAUAGAUGGAUCCGCGCUGCAUUAGCUAGUUGGUAAGGUAACGGCUUACCAAGGCAACGAUGCAUAGCCGACCUGAGAGGGUGAUCGGCCACACUGGAACUGAGACACGGUCCAGACUCCUACGGGAGGCAGCAGUAGGGAAUCUUCCGCAAUGGGCGAAAGCCUGACGGAGCAACGCCGCGUGAGUGAUGAAGGUCUUCGGAUCGUAAAACUCUGUUAUUAGGGAAGAACAUAUGUGUAAGUAACUGUGCACAUCUUGACGGUACCUAAUCAGAAAGCCACGGCUAACUACGUGCCAGCAGCCGCGGUAAUACGUAGGUGGCAAGCGUUAUCCGGAAUUAUUGGGCGUAAAGCGCGCGUAGGCGGUUUUUUAAG